rnacentral:rRNA from 1 species
AAGACCUUCUUCGGAAGGUAUGCUUAAAGAGGGGCUUGCGCCACAUUAGUUAGUUGGUAGGGUAAUGGCCUACCAAGACUAUGAUGUGUAGCUGGACUGAGAGGUUGAACAGCCACAUUGGGACUGAGACACGGCCCAAACUCCUACGGGAGGCAGCAGUAGGGAAUUUUCGGCAAUGGAGGAAACUCUGACCGAGCAACGCCGCGUGAACGAAGAAGUAUUUAGGUAUGUAAAGUUCUUUUAUUGAAGAAGAAAAAAUAGUGGAAAAACUAUCUUGACGCUAUUCAAUGAAUAAGCCCCGGCUAACUAUGUGCCAGCAGCCGCGGUAAGACAUAGGGGGCGAGCGUUAUCCGGAAUUAUUGGGCGUAAAGGGUGCGUAGGCGGUUAGAUAAGUCUAUAAUUUAAUUUCAGUGCUUAACGCUGUUCUGUUAUAGAAACUGUCUAGCUAGAGUAAGAUAGAGGCAAGUGGAAUUCCAUGUGUAGCGGUAAAAUGUGUAAAUAUAUGGAGGAACACCAGAAGCGUAGGCGGCUUGCUGGGUCUUUACUGACGCUGAGGCACGAAAGCGUGGGUAGCAAACAGGAUUAGAUACCCUGGUAGUCCACGCCGUAAACGAUGAGUACUAAGUGUCGGGGUUAAACUCGGUACUGAAGUUAACACAUUAAGUACUCCGCCUGAGUAGUACGUACGCAAGUAUGAAACUUAAAGGAAUUGACGGGACUCCGCACAAGCGGUGGAUCAUGUUGUUUAAUUCGAAGAUACACGAAAAACCUUACCAGGUCUUGACAUACUCUGCAAAGCUAUAGAAAUAUAGUGGAGGUUAUCAGGGAUACAGGUGGUGCAUGGUUGUCGUCAGCUCGUGUCGUGAGAUGUUAGGUUAAGUCCUAAAACGAGCGCAACCCUUGUCGUUAAUUGCCAGCACGUCAUGGUGGGGACUUUAGCGAGACUGCCAAUUAAAAAUUGGAGGAAGGUGAGGAUUACGUCAAAUCAUCAUGCCCCUUAUGAUCUGGGCUACAAACGUGAUACAAUGGCUGUUACAAAGAGUAGCUGAAACGCGAGUUUUUAGCCAAUCUCAAAAAAGCAGUCUCAGUUCGGAUUGAAGUCUGCAACUCGACUUCAUGAAGUGGAAUCGC